rnacentral:lncRNA from 1 species
UGUAAUGAACAUAUCUCAAACAAUAUACACUCGGAUUUACAUUUUAGUUAAACGAUCACUACUUCUACAGGCACCUUGUCUCAAGCAUUCAAUUGAAUUCUAAGAUAUCUUUAUUCAAAUCAAGUGUGACUACUAUACCAAAAGACUGAAAAUGGAUCAAUCAACUAACCCAUCCGUACUUGCAAAGUCUCCUUUUUUGUUAGCUCGAAAAUUGAGUUCUAAAAUGCAUUAUUCACCUAACUACUAUAUCAAAGCACAAACUAAUGGAUUGAUCAAGAAGGGCACUGCAGUUGUCCUGCAGUUAUGCAACUUAUCAAC